CCUACGGGUGGCUGCAGUGGGGAAUAUUGGACAAUGGGCGAAAGCCUGAUCCAGCCAUGCCGCGUGUGUGAAGAAGGCCUUCGGGUUGUAAAGCACUUUCAGUGGGGAAGAAAGCCUUGGGGCUAAUACCCUCGAGGAAGGACAUCACCCACAGAAGAAGCACCGGCUAACUCCGUGCUAGCAGCCGCGGUAAUACGGAGGGUGCGAGCGUUAAUCGGAAUUACUGGGCGUAAAGCGCGCGUAGGCGGUCUGAUAAGCCGGUUGUGAAAGCCCCGGGCUCAACCUGGGAACGGCAUCCGGAACUGUCAGGCUAGAGUGCAGGAGAGGAAGGUAGAAUUCCCGGUGUAGCAGUGAAAUGCGUAGAGAUCGGGAGGAAUACCAGUGGCGAAGGCGGCCUUCUGGACUGACACUGACGCUGAGGUGCGAAAGCGUGGGUAGCAAACAGGAUUAGAUACCCUUGUAGUC
rnacentral:rRNA from 1 species